rnacentral:rRNA from 1 species
ACGAACGUUAGCGGCGCGCCUACACAUGCAAGUCGAGCGAGAAAGGGAGCAAUCCCGGUACAGCGGCGCACGGGUGAGUAACACGUAGGUAACCAACCUCCGAGUGGUGGAUAACCUUCCGAAAGGAGGGCUAAUACAGCAUAAGCCCACGAUUCCGAGAGGAGUUGAGGGAAAAGCCGGCCAAUCCAUGGAAGCUGGCGCUUGGAGACGGGCCUGCGGCCCAUCAGCUAGUUGGUGAGGUAAUGGCUCACUAAGGCAAAGACGGGUAGCUGGUCUGAGAGGAUGAUCAGCCACACUGGAACUGAGACACGGUCCAGACUCCUACGGGAGGCAGCAGUGGGGAAUCUUGCGCAAUGGGCGAAAGCCUGACGCAGCGACGCCGCGUGGGUGAUGAAGGCCUUCGGGUUGUAAAGCCCUGUGGAGGGGGACGAAUAAGUCAUGGUUAAUAUCCAUGAUGAUGACGGUACCCCUUUAGCAAGCACCGGCUAACUCUGUGCCAGCAGCCGCGGUAAGACAGAGGGUGCAAACGUUGUUCGGAAUUACUGGGCGUAAAGCGCGUGUAGGCGGCCUCGCAAGUCGGGUGUGAAAGCCCUGGGCUCAACCCAGGAAGUGCACUCGAUACUGCAAGGCUUGAGUCCCGGAGAGGAAAGCGGAAUUCUCGGUGUAGAGGUGAAAUUCGUAGAUAUCGAGAGGAACACCGGUGGCGAAGGCGGCUUUCUGGACGGCGACUGACGCUGAGACGCGAAAGCGUGGGGAGCCACCAGGAUUAGAUACCCUGGUAGUCCACGCCCUAAACGAUGGAAUCAUUGUUGGUGGAGUGAAAUC